rnacentral:lncRNA from 1 species
GCUCGGCAAAAUGAAUUCAACCUAAAUCCAAGGGCGGUGACAGGAGGAGGGCUCUAAACAAAUGUUUCAAAUUUGGAGUUCCUGAUUUGGACAUGGAGAAGCCGCCAGUUGUUACUGGAAUGUAGGCCUGUGGCUCCUGUAAAAGGAAGGGCAGUGGAAGGGCAUCCUGAGACAUGGGAGCUGAGGAACCUCAUAGCUCUGAGAGGAAGCCUCCUCAGCAGAAGAGUUGCAGCUCCCAGGGGAGGGUGUCCCCACCUGAGCUGAGGACCAGGAGCCUCAGCCCUGUAGGGAUAUUGGGGCCCCGCAUCUGCUCCACCACAGGGCUCAGCCACUCAGGGAGGCAGGACGCAGGAAGUUGACCAUGUUUAUUUACCGUGUUUAUUUAUACCAUCACCAGACAGGCCCGGGACAUGGCUCCAGGGGUGGGGAAGUGCAGUCUGAGGCACCGAUGGUUCUCAGGUUCUCGGACAUCCAGGUGCUGCUGGGAGACGCAGAAGACCUGAGAAUGGAGCGAGGCCCUGCAGGCUAGACCUAGCCUGGGACAGGAGGCUGCCAUUUUGACAGGAGCCACCAUUUUUGACAGCUCCGAGGUUGGGGUUGGGGUGGGGCAUCUCAUCUUGACCUUAGGAUAGAAUGGAAAGGAGGAGCCUUCCGCAGCUUUGAUAGCUUUUGAGGUGUGAUGCUUAGGGGCUACAGAAAGGCCUUUAAAAUGUGUGGAUACUUUACACAACACCAGAAAAUUCAUACUAGUAAAAAACGUUUCAAUUGUAAAGGAUUUGGGAAGGCUUUUAUUCCGCUUCCAUCUUUGCUCAACACCAGAGAAUCCACACUGAUAAGAAACCUCAUAUAAGUCAUUAGCAUGGGAGGUCCUACAGAUAUGGCUCACCCCUUAAUGUACAUCAAAGAAUUGGUGCGUCUGUGAAAAUCUAAGCAUAGAGGGAACACGAGGAAGCUUUGAAUGUGGCCCAAUUUUUUUCUUUCAUUUCAUGACUUCAUAGAAAUGCAACAAAAACUUCUGGUGAUGUUAUGGCGGCUUCUUGUUACUUCCUCAGACUCGGGCCGAUCGGCAGAGUGAUGUCAGACGAUACAGUGGAGUUUUGCUAAGACAGACUCAUGUGUUGUUUUGCUGAGGCAAGACACAUGGGUGGACAUGUGGUGUUUGGAGGUAGUAUAAAUAGGACUAGACAGACUGUGUGGAGCUUGCAUAGCUAGCUUGGCAACACUUUAUUGGUCUUGAGAUUUUGCUGAUCUUCACUUUGUUGAGAGCAGCAUGGCAGAGAACUUCUAGUGUCCCUGCUGGUCCUGGUGCAGAUUCAGCAGAGACCUGGCUGUCUCUGCUGUGUUGUGCCACCGCUGCUGAUUAGUGUUUGCUAUCCUGAUGCAACUGAACUGGACUGUUGGUAUAUAUCCUGUCAAUGCAGAUUGGAGUUGCUCCAAAGAACUAUUUAUAAACAGGUCCAUUUCCCCUGAAUCCAAAUAACUUUCCUUUUCUACUACCUAUGGUGGGUGGUGGGUUUUAAGACAGGUUAAAGAAUUUAAGAAACCUUAUUAAAAGUAGGCUUUUUUUUUUUUUUUUGAAAAAUGGAAUCCAGCAGGUGAUGCCCAACGUGACUUAGGCAUAAUGGGUAACUCUGCUUCUAAUGUAGAGGAAAUGGCAGGUUAUGAGGGGUUAGCAAUGUUGCUUAAGGAUAUUGGUGAAAUGGCAACUAGGUGGUCGCCUGCCUUGCUCCCAGAAGAGGAUUGUUUUUAUUUUGCUUCAUAUUUUUCAUGUAUACUAUUUUGAAAAACUUUAAGGAGAAACCUAACAAUUCUCUCCUGUUAGAGAAGAUUGCAGAGUUGACUAUGCACUUAGAGAGUUUGCUGACAGAGGUUGAAGUAUUUGGAAAACAAAGAGGACCCCUCCAAAAAAAAAAUGGAAGGAGAAAAACGUCAAGGCUUGGUGAACGAGAACAGGGAUUUACUGCAUGAUGAAAGCUGGAAGCAAACUAGGCUGGACGGUAAAUGGCUGCUGGGCCCUACUCCACGCACUCUUCCUGCCAAGCACCCAGAGCACCUCUGUGAAACUAGGGGCCAGGCAGAGUAGGGGAUUGGGAAAAUACAACUGGAUGGUGUUCAGCCAAGUGCAUCACCAGAGGAUUUGCUUGGACCUACACAGCUUCCUCAGCCUUCCCAGUCUUUGUACAACAUAUGUGUGCUAAUGAUGGUGGUUCUGCCUAUAAUGAAUUGACCUGGUAUCCGAUAGAAAUGCUAGAUCUCAAUUAUUUUAAAGAGGUUGUUAUAUGAUAUAGCUUACAUUCUCCUUUUGUUAAAUAACUGCUAAAUGCUAAGCACACAGCAUAGGGUUAUCCCACAAGAUUGGAAGCGAUUGGCGUCAGCUUUUCUAGAAGCUGGACAUCAAUUACAAUCGUUGUCAUGGUAGAGGCAAUGAAGCCACCACGAAAACAGAACAACAAAUAAAUGGGAUAAAUGUUACUAAAGAGCAGCUACUUGGUGAAGGGAGUUGUGCUGACCUACAACAAGAACAAAUCCAAUCUAAUGAUGGUUCAACUGAACAAUAUCAUGCUGCAGCUUUAAGAGCUUGGGAUAUAAUUGAGGAUCCUGGGGCCAGAGGGUAAGGAAUCUACUACAUUUACUAAAAUAAUACAGGGGUCUGGUGAAGCCUUUACAGAAUUCUUACAGAGGUUGGGUUCAGCUGUGAAGAGAGACAUAUUAGACCCUGAAACCAGACAGUCAUUGAUAGAAAUAUUGGCAUUUAAAAAUGCAAAUACCAAAUGCAUGAGGGCAAUCAGACUAUUGAAAGCUUGAAGAGCCCCAAUUGAAGUGGAAACUUAAGGGACCUUUGGAAAGUCAGUUGCAUCAGAUGGUGUUUUGGUAGGGUAAACACUUGAAGGAGUGUUUUCCUGAAGUGGACACAGGUGAAAGGAUGUUUUGCUAAAGCGAACACAUGAAAGGACAUGUAAAGAUUCUUUGCUAAGGACACACAUGUAUUGGUCCACCUUACAUUGUGUAGUUGAGCUGCAUCUGUUGGGACUCCAUAGAGAGAAACUCAUCAAACAAACAGACAAAAAACUUUUUGUGUUAUACUGCAGCUUCUUGCUACUUCUGCAGAAUGGGGCCCGGAUUGACAAAGUGAUAUCAGCUGAGACAGACUCACUUGGAGUUUUACUAAAAGACUUACAUGCUGAGUCAAGACUUGUGGUGAGGCAAGACCCAUGAAGGACACAUGAUGUUUGGAGGGAGUAUAAAUAGGACUCAACAGACUGUGAGAAUGGCUUAUUUAUAGAGCUAGCUGUGCGAUGCUUCUUGGUCUUACAUCUUUGCUGAUCUUUGCCUUAUUGAUCACAGACCCUGGAAAGUCCAGAGACUGGACAGACAACACACAACCGGAUAAACACAGACUGGGCAAGCUUUUUUCAAACUAACCAUUUUUUUCCUUGGAGUUCCAAAACAGGAAUUCUUUAUCCCAAUUCAACAGGAAGCAAAUAUAUAUAAGACCAUUGUCCCAAUCCCUUAAGUUGGGUUAGGUAGUUUUGGUUGCUUGAUGUGUUAUAAUUGUUAUUAUCUAAGGUGGAAGGUUGCUAUUGGUUAUGAUCAGGGAUUGAUAAAAAUUUAAAGCCAUUUUGUUUAACUACUGUAUAUUAAUAGAAAUUUAAGGUUUUUGUUUAGUUAUUGUAUAUUUAUAGAAAAAUAAAGUUGUUUUGUUUG